rnacentral:rRNA from 1 species
CAAGGAAUUUUCGUCAAUGGGCGCAAGCCUGAACGAGCAACGCCGCGUGGAGGAUGACGGCCUUCGGGUUGUAAACUCCUUUUUCGGGGGACGAUAAUGACGGUACCCCGGGAAUAAGGCUCGGCUAACUCUGUGCUAGCAGCCGCGGUAAUACAGAGGAGCCAAGCGUUGUCCGGAUUGACUGGGCGUAAAGCGCACGCAGGCGGACGCGCGCGUGGGGUGUGAAAUCUGGCGGCUUAACGGCCAGGCGCUAUCCCAUACGGCGCGGCUGGAGUGAUGCAGAGGUCGAAGGAAUUGCCGGUGUAGUGGUGAAAUGCGUAGAGAUCGGCAGGAACACCCAGGGGGAAACCAGUCGACUGGGCAUCUACUGACGCUGAGGUGCGAGAGCGUGGGGAGCGAACCGG